UAUCGGAACGUACCAUUCAGUGGGGGAUAACGUAGCGAAAGUUACGCUAAUACCGCAUAUUCUGUGAGCAGGAAAGCAGGGGAUCGCAAGACCUUGCGCUGAUUGAGCGGCCGAUAUCAGAUUAGCUAGUUGGUGAGGUAAAGGCUCACCAAGGCGACGAUCUGUAGCGGGUCUGAGAGGAUGAUCCGCCACACUGGAACUGAGACACGGUCCAGACUCCUACGGGAGGCAGCAGUGGGGAAUUUUGGACAAUGGGGGCAACCCUGAUCCAGCCAUGCCGCGUGAGUGAAGAAGGCCUUCGGGUUGUAAAGCUCUUUCGGCCGGGAAAAAAUCGCAUAGGUUAAUACCCUGUGUGGAUGAUGGUACCGGAAUAAGAAGCACCGGCUAACUACGUGCCAGCAGCCGCGGUAAUACGUAGGGUGCGAGCGUUAAUCGGAAUUACUGGGCGUAAAGCGUGCGCAGGCGGUUUUGUAAGACAGGCGUGAAAUCCCCGGGCUCAACCUGGGAACUGCGCUUGUGACUGCAAGGCUAGAGUACGGCAGAGGGGGGUGGAAUUCCACGUGUAGCAGUGAAAUGCGUAGAGAUGUGGAGGAACACCAAUGGCGAAGGCAGCCCCCUGGGUCGAUACUGACGCUCAUGCACGAAAGCGUGGGUAGCAAACAGGAUUAGAUACCCUGGUAGUCCACGCCCUAAACGAUGUCAACUAGGUGUUGGGUGGGUAAAACCAUUUAGUACCGUAGCUAACGCGAGAAGUUGACCGCCUGGGGAGUACGGCCGCAAGGUUAAAACUCAAAGGAAUUGACGGGGACCUGCACAAGCGGUGGAUGAUGUGGAUUAAUUCGAUGCAACGCGAAAAACCUUACCUACCCUUGACAUGUCCAGGAGCCCGAAGAGAUUUGGGUGUGCUCGAAAGAGAACUGGAACACAGGUGCUGCAUGGCUGUCGUCAGCUCGUGUCGUGAGAUGUUGGUUAAGUCCCGCAACGAGCGCAACCCUUGUCGUUAAUUGCCAUCAUUCAGUUGGGCACUUUAACGAGACUGCCGGUGACAAACCGGAGGAAGGUGGGGAUGACGUCAAGUCCUCAUGGCCCUUAUGGGUAGGGCUUCACACGUCAUACAAUGGUCGGUACAAAGGGUUGCCAACCCGCGAGGGGGAGCUAAUCCCAUAAAGCCGAUCGUAGUCCGGAUCGUAGGCUGCAACUCGCCUGCGUGAAGUCGGAAUCGCUAGUAAUCGUGGAUCAGCAUGUCACGGUGAAUACGUUCCCGGGUCUUGUACACACCGCCCGUCACACCAUGGGAGCGGGUUCCGCCAGAAGUAGGUAGCCUAACCGCAAGGGGGGCGCUUACCACGGCGGGGUUCGUGACUGGGGUGAAGUCGUAACAAGGUA
rnacentral:rRNA from 1 species